GCAGGCUGGGGGAUGUAGCUCAG
rnacentral:piRNA from 1 species